UGUCAAGGGCCACAUGGGUAGCCCCGCCCCUUGACAGCUUGCCACAACUUGGUAAGUGGCCCUUGGCCCAAAAUAAUUGCCCGCCCCUGAUGUAGGGACAGGACUCAGUGUUUAAACAGCUCACUUUGCUUGUACAGUUAAGGAAAUUACUCCUAGCACAAGCAACAGAGUUUGCUUUUGAAGGCCCAUUAUUUGCAUAUAUUCAAACACAUUAUUUGCACAUUAUUUGUUACAUACGGAAAUCGAAUUCUCUUUGCCACCAAAUGCUAGAAAUGGAAUGAGGGAAUCAACAGAAAGUUGCACUUAAAUAGCUCUUGCCAUCAUCUGUGGGUUCACUAAGGAACAAUAUAAGCUUUCCAGCUGAAACAUGCAUAAUCUGUAAACUAGGCCAGGUGACCAGUCUCAUGCUGUACAAAUCAAAGCCACUAUGGAUAUCAUAGAUUGACAUAAUGCUCAUCCAACUUGUGUGAGGGAGAAAAAUGUUUUUAGAGGAACGACCAACUUGACAGGAACUUUAUUGUAAAGCUGCAUUUUGACAUGAUGGGUUCUGGGCAUCCACCCAUUUUCCAAAUGUUCUUCUGAUUAUUAUUCAAUUUCUUUGCUCAUUAGAGGCUUCUUUCUUUUUUUCAAGGGAAGUUUUACCAUUGAUUUCAAAGAAGGCAAAAUAAGGUUUUUGUUUUUGUUAAUAAAGGAAAGUCAUAGCUUUUAAUUAUACUUGGUUCCUUUGGUAAUUCUGACCCAGUGCCUAUGUAGAGAGAUGAACAGGAUAUACUAAUUAAAGUAUCUUUGCAGUAGUUUGUACUCAGAUGUAAAAAAUAUUGGUUAAAUACUUUAUGAAGUAAAAAUUCAUCUGAAAGAUCUGUAUCAGAUUUUCUUUAUAUCUAACACUACUGAGAAUAUAUUUUACAUGUACAUGUCAGGUGUAGCAAAUGGUGGUCUGGCCAUUUAAGUGGGGCAACCAGCCCUGGGGUAUGAGCCCAGCUGUAAGUGAUUAGCUGGCAGUUAAAAGCCCAGAUGUGGAGACAGCAAGAGGGCUGAGCUGGGGAAGGAGCAGUAUGUAGCCGGGAAACAUAUUCCAACACUAGGAGCUUACUUCUAGGAAAGGCUGGAGAUAAAAGGACCCUUUCCUGCCACCUAGAAAAGGGCUGAACAUUUGCUUUGCUCUGCUUAUUUGUUUGUUUGGAUUAAGAAUUAUGGUUGAUAUUAUGGACUUUUGUUUGGACUGGUUACGGGAUUCCUAAGGGGACAAAGCCUGCCUUAAAUAGGAGCAGACACACUAGCCCACUGAUGUCAGGUAAAGGAAACAAGUAAGAUUGUGUAAUACAGCAAUUCCAAUACACUAGUAUAGUGCAGUCCUUAAGAAAAAUAUUGGGAGAAAGAUACAGGAAUCCCAUUAAAUCCCAACAAUCAGACAACUACUAUGUUCAGUCAAGGGAAUAAAAAAGCCCCCUUGGCUGAACAGGGAGCUUCAGGAAAGGCUGGGGGCAAAGAAAGAGAUAUAUAUGUAGUGGAAGCAGGGGGCAGCCACCAAGGAACACACAUUAUUUGUUACAUACGGAAUUUGAAUUCUCUUUGCCACCAAAUGCUAGAAAUGGAAUGAGGGAAUCAACAGAAAGGAAGCAUAUACCACCCUGGUGCACUAUUGCAGGGAGUCAGUUAGACAGGUCAAGGCAGGACUGGAGCUUAGGCUGGCUCUAACAAUCAAGGACAAUAAAAAGUCUUUCUACAGAUACACAGCGAGCAAAAAGAAGGCACAGAGUAGCAUAGGGCCCCUGCAGGACAAAUCAGGUCAGUUGGUAGUUGAUGCAGACAAAAAGGCAGAGCUCUUCAAUGAGUUCUUCGCUUCAGUAUUCCUUAAUACAGACCAAGACGGUCCCCACACCUUGAACAUAGACAGCUGUCUAAAAGGCACCAGACUGCCAAUGAUUAGUGCUGAGUUAGUUAAAGAGCAUUUGGAAGGCCUGGAUGGGUACAAGUCAGCCAGCCAGGAUGACUUCCAUCCAUGGGUGCUGAAGGAAUCAGCCAGUGUCAUUGCUGAGCCACUGGCACAGCUGUUUGAGCUCUCAUGGUGCUCCGGACAGGUUCCUGAGGACUGGAAAAAGGCCAACGUAGUGCCCAUUUUUAAGAAGGGGAGAAGGGAGGAGCCAGGUAACUUUAGGCCAGUCAGUCUUACCUCUAUUCCUGGGAAAAUACUAGAAAAAAUCAUCAAAGAGCGUGUAUGUGAAAGCCCAGCAGGGGAAACGAUGCUGAAUGGAAACCAGCACGGGUUUGUCACAGGUAGAUCCUGCCUGACAAACCUUAUAGCCCUUUAUGACCAGGUCACACACUGCCUUGACACAGGAGCGGAGGCUGAUAUCAUCUACCUGGAUUUUAGAAAGGCCUUCAACACAGUUUCACAUCCUGUUCUCAAGGGAAGCUAACGGGCUGUGGAGUAGACCUGACUUACACAGUCAGGUGGGUGGCUAACUGGCUUAGGGACUACACCCAGAGAGUGGUGGUUGAUGGGUCAUUUUCAACCUGGAAGGAGGUGGGCAGUGGGGUCCCACAGGGUUUGGUCCUUGGGCCGGUAUUAUUUAAUAUCUUCAUCAGUGAUUUGGACGAGGGUGUGUUGAGCACCCUUUCCAAGUUCACAGAUGAUACCAAAUUAUGGGAGCAGUUACAGGCCGACCUGGACAGGUUGGAUCAAUGGGCGGAACGUAAUAGGAUGCAGUUCAACAAAGACAAAUGUAAGGUACUCCACCUAGAAAGGAGGAAUCCCCAGCAUGCCUACAGGUUGGGGGAUGUCCUCCUCAGCAGCUCAGACGCUGAGAGAGAUCUUGGAGUUGUAGCUGACUCCAAGAUGAACAUGAACCAGCAGUGCAACGAGGCCAUCAACAAAGCCAAUCGCACCUUGUCAUGUAUUAGCAGAUGCAUGACCAACAGAUCGAGGGAGGUGAUGCUUCCCCUCUAUGCAGCACAAGUCAGGCCGCAGUUGGAGUACUGUAUCCAGUUUUGGGCACCGCACUUCAAGAGGGACACGGAGGAUCUAGAAAGGGUUCAGAGGAGGGCCACCUGCAUGAUUAGUGGUCUCCAUGAAAGACCCUACGAGGAGAGGUUGAGAGAUCUGGAUCUCUUCAGCCUAUACAAAAGAUGGCUGAGGGGUGACCUUGUGGCCGCCUAUAAAUUUAUCAGGGGAGGACAGCAGGGAAUUGGGGAUGUGCUGUUUACCAAAGUGCCCCAGGGAGUAACUAGGAAUAAUGGGUGCAAACUAGUGGAAAGUAGAUUUAGGUUAGACAUUAGGAAGACAUGUUUUACAAUAAGGGUGGUCAGAGUCUGGAAUGGGCUUCCAAGAGGGGUGGUGCUGUCACCUAACUUGGAGGUCUUCAAGAGGAGGCUUGACAAUCACCUGGCUGGAGUCAUCUGACCUCGGUCCUCUUUCCUGUCAGCGGUAGGAGGUUGGACACAAUGAUCCAUUGGGUCCCUUCCGACUCUGUAAUCUAUGAAUCUAUGAAUAAACUAUGUCAUUAUAUCUAUUAUUAUUAUUAUCAUUAUUAUAAACCUAUUAUAAAUCUAACAUUAUAGUAAGUUAUGUGGCUAAGAACAGAGAUACUGGAAGCCCUUUGAACAAUUAUACAAUUUUUGCUAAUAUAACUUAUUAAUAAUCUCUCUCAAAUAUUGUUUCUGGAUAUUUUUGAAGGAUUGAGUAGAAAGGUCACUCUCUAUCCUCUGAAUUCAUAGCAAAAACUUACCUUUUAUGUAAACAUCAUGAGAGGACGCACCAAAGUCCAUGGACAGAAAUACUGCAGCUGCUUAGAAAUAGAUGAAUUUGUUCAACCUUUAGUUUGUCCUGGAAACCACCCAAGGUCUCAUUUUAAAAGCACAGGCUAUCAAUACUGACCUCACAUCUGUUCUGUAUGAUUCAGAGUUUCCAUGUACUUUUCUAAUCUUCCUAGGAAAAUGGGAUAGUAUACUUUUCUGGUCACUAAUUUUAUAGACCACUUUUUUAAAAUGUAAGAGGAUGUUAAAAAUGCAUAUCUUUAUCACAGAGGUCACUAGAUAGUGCUAUAAUACAUGGUCUUACAGGUAAUUUUACUGCUUCUGAAAGAAAAUGCUAUGGUGCUACAUUUUUGGAUGCAGGUUUUUUGGAGGUUUUUUUUAAUGCAGGCUUUUGCAGAAGCCAUGACUUGUAGCAUGGGAGUUUGCUGUUUUUAAUCUGUUCUUGAAGCAGAGUUCUCCCUGCAAAUGGGGAUUAGUAUUUGGGUUAUGAAUUCUGAAAGACGGUAUUGCCUGCAUGCUGUUUGUGAUUACCUCUGUUACAAGAAUGGUGUAUCUGUCUAAAUCAACAAAUUACACUACAUGUGUACUCUGCCUGACACGUCUGAUUUCUUCUCCAGUGGGAAGCUAAUGUGCAAGCCCUCAACUCUGCAGCUUGGAAGAAUGGCAACAUUAUUACACAUGGUGUAUGGAUCCACCUAGUUGAUAGUCUGAAGGCUUGGAAAUUAUUUCUGUGAUGUAAACUUCUCAGAUAACCUGGUAUCUUCUCCAGGUGGAGGAGUAUGGAGGAGCUGAUGAUGACACUGCACUCAAUGGGAUCCGUUUAUAUUGCAUAAACCCCAAUAAUACUGAUAGCACUGUCUACAGUAUUGAGUCUGAUUCUGGAAAGUAAGUUUAAUGAUAUUUAAUGUUUGAUCUUUAGUAAAUCUGAUGAGGAGGAAUCUGAGAACUAGUCAUACUAUCAACCAUCAUGGAACCAGCUGUUGUGUCCAGAUGGUUGUUUUUAAUGCUGGAGAUAUUAUUGCUUACCUUUCCUAGGCCACUUUAUGAUCCAGAGUAUACCAAUGCAACCCCCAUAGUCUUGGAUGGGCCUCAAUGUUUUAAUUAUGCAUGAUUUGCAAAGAAAAUAGUUACAGUUUAAAUAUAAGAAGUUAUUUGUAUUAUGUUACAAUUUCUUAGGUUUCACUUGAAACACUACUUUGAUGUUCUUUAAAAGUUAAAAUUGACACUCCGUCCUCACGUGACCUUUCGCCUUUAAAAUUUCUUGUUAAUAGCAUCCAUUAAAGAGGUCCUCUAGAUGUGAAAUGUUGUUGCAUUAAAAUAUGUCUAAAUGGGUAAAAAUAGUUCUGUAUUCUGUUAUUAAAUUCUCCCUCAGGCUAUGUGAAAGAGCUGCACAAUUAAGGUAAAAUGACUAACAGGAAACCUGACCCAACUGGAUGUACUGGCAUAGGCCCUCUAGCUUCAUGGUACCCUGCAUUAGUAGAGGGUUCAGCAAAUAGUCUGAUUAGAGUUCACUACUACACAGGGGACACACUGAGAGUGGCCAUAAAUACAAUCCAUCAAAUACAUAAAGUUAAAGAAACUAGAAAAAAUUGAGAACUAUUUUCCUUUAAUUUUUUCAGUAAGGGCCAUCUUUGGAAUUAUUUGUAAUGGUAGUAGGUAAAAAAGGUUGAAACAAAAAAAUUUAAGUCCCUGCUGUCCGUUUUUAAAGGUUAUCACCUUCAACUUCAACUUUGAAUUCUUGAUUCCUAUCAGUCUGUAUGAAUGUCUUCAGAUAAUCUCAAGAAUUUGUUUUUAAACGUAAUUUGUGUGUUAACAGAUCUGUAGUUUACUGGGUCAAAUGACUCAGCUAUCUAUUGGGUUUAUAUCAUGUCUGAGGACAGACUAGUCCAGUAUCCUGUCCAUGACAAUGGCUAAACCCAGGUGCUUCAGAAAAAGGUGUAAGAACCCCACAGUUAGAAAAUGAUGACGGGUCAUCUGCUCCUGUUUACUCCCUAGUAGUUAGAGAUCUGCUCCAGCCCUGGAACACAUAUCCAAAAUCUUUCUUGGCAUUAAUUAUGACAACUCUGGGUCUUCUUGUAGCCUUAUAAAUAACCAAAUUUUGAAGUGUGAGUAGAAUAUAAAUCCAAAUUUUGAAAUGUGGGUAUGUUUUUCCAACUACAUAAUUACUUUUACGAUGGGCAACAAAGAGGUGACUCUCCCUUAUUUUAAAUUGGUAUUGGAAGCAUUAUUCUAGUCUUACUUAUACUGAUGUAAGUGGAUUUAUUUAAAUACCUUCUUCUGUUGCACACAUAUCCACAGGGAGUCCUAUUUUCUCAGGUUUCCUCAAGUUUGACACGUCAAGCUGCAAGCAGAAUGCCUAUAUCUUUUUUUCUCCUUUCAAAUAGAUUUAUCCCAAAGAUGUAGGGGAAUAUUUUUAUCUGAUGAUCUCUUGUUAUAAUUGUGUUGUCAGUAUAUUUAGAGUAUAAGACAAGUGUUGAGGAAAUGGCAUCCCAGUACGCUCAGAAGAAUUGAUGCUCAACAUAUAAUAAAUAAUACAUCAUUUAAAAAAAUCUGGCAUCUUUACACUUUAAAACAUUAAUUAUACUCAAUUAAAAUAACAAUUGAAUGACAUUAUUGACAAUUCUGAAAAUUAAAAUGGAAAAUUUAUUUAAACUUUUUAAAUUGCAAUUUUCUUUUCUCACCAUAGGUUUGGACAAUGGUCAAUAAUCACUUGGUGUCCAAGAGGGUUCCUCGUAUCUUUUCAACUGAAAGUUGAAACACCACAAGGAAUUAUA